rfam:Salmo salar isolate Sally breed double haploid chromosome ssa24, whole genome shotgun sequence.
UGCACGCCUAACUGUAAGUCACUUUGGAUAAAAGAGUCUGCUAAAUGACAUAUA